UUAUUAUGAUGAAUAGUUUCACAACUUUCUUUUCCGGUGAAAAAAAAAAUGUGCCAUGGAAAAAACAUGCAUCACCAUCUGAUC
rnacentral:snoRNA from 1 species